GGGGUCGACCGGAAUUGACAGGAUGGAGACGGUUAUGUAAGCAUGCAGCGCGUUGUUAGUCUAGCGCUUUAAUCUGAACUUUCAACUUUUUAAAUGGCGAAAAUAACUACGCCUUAGCUGCCUAAUUUAGAAUUAGUUUAGCUUUUGUCCAGUCUGGGUUUUGUUCUGUAGCCUAGACACACGGGCAUCGAACUAUGGAACUGGUUGCUUCAACGCUGUGAUGAAGUGACGAGAUAAAACAGAUAAGGAUUUGGUAUAGGUAAGCAACCAACCUUCCAGAUCUCGAAAAUUUAAUGGAAGCUAAGCAUGUAGAAAGCAUAUACAGUACCAUGUUUGGACGAGGGUUCGAAUCCCUCCGACUCCACAA
rnacentral:tmRNA from 1 species